rnacentral:rRNA from 1 species
UACGUAGGGUGCGAGCGUUGUCCGGAAUUAUUGGGCGUAAAGGGCUCGUAGGCGGUUUGUCACGUCGGGAGUGAAAACUCAGGGCUCAACCCUGAGCCUGCUUCCGAUACGGGCAGACUAGAGGUAUGCAGGGGAGAACGGAAUUCCUGGUGUAGCGGUGAAAUGCGCAGAUAUCAGGAGGAACACCGGUGGCGAAGGCGGUUCUCUGGGCAUUACCUGACGCUGAGGAGCGAAAGCGUGGGUAGCGAACAGG